rnacentral:rRNA from 1 species
GACGAACGCCGGCGGCGUGCUUAACACAUGCAAGUCGAACGGAAAGGCCCUGCUUUUGUGGGGUGCUCGAGUGGCGAACGGGUGAGUAACACGUGAGUAACCUGCCCUUGACUUUGGGAUAACUUCAGGAAACUGGGGCUAAUACCGGAUAGGAGCUCCUGCUGCAUGGUGGGGGUUGGAAAGUUUCGGCGGUUGGGGAUGGACUCGCGGCUUAUCAGCUUGUUGGUGGGGUAGUGGCUUACCAAGGCUUUGACGGGUAGCCGGCCUGAGAGGGUGACCGGCCACAUUGGGACUGAGAUACGGCCCAGACUCCUACGGGAGGCAGCAGUGGGGAAUAUUGCACAAUGGGGGGAAGCCUGAUGCAGCAACGCCGCGUGCGGGAUGACGGCCUUCGGGUUGUAAACCGCUUUCGCCUGUGACGAAGCGUGAGUGACGGUAAUGGGUAAAGAAGCACCGGCUAACUACGUG